AGUUUGUGCUGCCAGCAAGCGUGCAAAGAAGAGGAGGGGGAGCGAGCGCGUACAGGAGGAGGAGGAGGAGGAGGAGUGAGGCAGAGAGAGGGAGAGAGAGAGUGCAAACAAUGUCAUUCUGUUCAGGAGGCAAUGCUGCAGUCAACUUUGCCGCGCCAUGAAAGAACAUCACCAGCAACCAAGAGGCUCAGAGUGAGUGCAGAGAAGUUUUCCUCCCUGCCGGUGCUACGGUCCCGAGACUCGUCUGAGCAGGCUCAUACACCCCAUCCGGCUGCUGGUGGCGUGUUGGAACAUGCCUUGACUUGUUGUGCUGCCUGAGUGAAGCAGAGAGAGAAGAGGCUGGUGGUCAACAGUUUUCCAGUGUGUUGGAGGAACCCUGCAGCAACCCAUGGACAGAGUCCCGUUAAUGUCUCUGAGGGUGGAUGGAGGAGCUGCUGCUGCUGCUGCUGUCUGAGCUUCCUCGUGUUGGCAACGCACCACACCACCCUCGGGGGCUUUUUAGUGCGAGGCCUUCCAACAACACCGCAAAGCUGGGCAUUAAAAAAGGAGUCCGUAGUGCCAGACUCGCAGGUGGAAAUGUGCAGCAAAGACCAGCCGGGAUCCCGCUGAGGCAGAAAAAAAGGAUGGUCGGACGCGGCUGCUGUGGGUGUUUCUCUGGCAGUGUCUUAGCUGGUUGUUGUGAGGAGUGAGAACGAAGCAAUCAGCAAGUAUACUGCCGCAGAAAUUCUUCGCAAUAAGAGGCCCUGGGAUCAUCGGCGUCACACGGGGGAAAAAAAAUCAAGGAAAAGUGCAUUUUUGCAGUUCAGCAAAACGCGGAUCCUGUAAGUUUUUACCUGAUACAGAUUUAAUAGAAGACAGAUCGACCGCAAGCAUGGCCUUUUUUCAUGUACAAUUGGAGCAAACUUCUGCACUGUGUUGCACUUUUGUGAUCCUCUGCUGCCAUCUUGUGACUGAAAGCAAACCUCCCAGCAUGCUUUUGUUCAUCCAGCACUGCACCAAUUUGUAAAACCUACAUUGUAUUUUUUUUUUUUUGCUUUGUUUUCAUUGAGACAGUUUCUAAUCCCUUUCAUUCAGAAAAGAUGGCUUGGCUAACUGUGACUUCAGAUCCCUUAUUUUUAUGUUGCAAGCGCAUGUUUUCUUCGUCACCAAAUUUAAUUUUGCUUCAAGAAUUUUCUCGAUCGAUUCUUACAUCAGCUGCUUUAGUCAUUUCUUCAUGUCAGAAUUUAUAACUGUAAAGAAGAAGGAGGGUAAAUAAAAGUUGCAUAAAGACGGA